rnacentral:rRNA from 2 species
AACUGAGGGGGGCUGCUCCUAGUACGAGAGGACCGGAGUGGACGCAUCACUGGUGUUCGGGUUGUCAUGCCAAUGGCACUGCCCGGUAGCUAAAUGCGGAAGAGAUAAGUGCUGAAAGCAUCUAAGCACGAAACUUGCCCCGAGAUGAGUUCUCCCUGAGACUUAAAGUCUCCUGAAGGAACGUUGAAGACGACGACGUUGAUAGGCCGGGUGUGUAAGCGCAGCGAUGCGUUGAGCUAACCGGUACUAAUGAACCGUGAGGCUUAACCUUACAACGCCGAAG